rnacentral:rRNA from 1 species
UUCGAUUCUGGCUCAGAUUGAACGCUGGCAGGAUGCUUUAUGCAAGUCGAACGGCAGCACGGACUUCGAUCACGAGUGGCGAGUAGCGAACGGUUGGCGUAAUAUCAGAACGUUGCCUAGUAAAGGAUCUUCGCGGCGAAGCGUAUCUAACCUGCAUACCUCCGGAAAAGCGGGAACCUCGAACUCGCACUCGCUAGAGCGAUGCUCGACGUCGGAUUAGCCAGUUGGAUGGGUAACGUCACCAGGCGAUGAUCAGCGGCGCAGGCACUGAGAGGACGACCAGCCACACUGGGACUGAGACACGGCCCAGACUCCUGCAGGAAACUGGCAGUGAAAUUUUGGACAAUGGGGAAACCUGAUCAGCCAUCCCGUGUGCGAUGAAGGCCUUCGGUUCAAGCACUUUUGGCGGAAAGAAACGGCACGGGAUAAUACCCGUGCAGCUGACGAUACCUGCAGAAUAAGCACCGGCUAACUACGUGCCAGCAGCCGCAGUAUGCGUAGGGUGCAAGCAUUAAUCGGAGUCACAGGCGUAAAGCGUGCGCAGGCGGUUCGGAAAGAAGAUGUAGAAAUCCCCAGAGCUUAACUAAUUUCAUUUUUAACUACCCUGAGCUAAGAGUGUGUCAGAGGUGGAAUUCACGUGUAGCAGUGAAAUGCGUAGAUAUGCGGAGGAACACCGAUGGCAGAAGGCAGCCUCUGGGAUAACACUGACGCGCUCAUGCACGAAAAGCGUGGGAGCAAACAGGAUUAGAUACCCUGGUAGUCCACGCUCUAAACGAUGUCAACCAGCUGUUGAGGCCUUCGGGCCUUGGUAGCGCAGCUAACGCGUGAAGUUGACCGCCAGAGAAUUGCGGUCGCAAGAUUAAAACUCAAAGAUUGACGGGGAUUACUAGCGGUGGAUGAUGUGGAUUAAUUCGAUGCAGCGCGAAAAACCUUACCUACCCUUGACAUGUCUGGAAUCGAGAUUUGGGAGUGCUCGCAAGAGAACCGGAACACAGGUGCUGCAUGUGUAUCGUCAGCUCGUGUCGUGAGAUGUGGGUUAAGUCCGCAACGAGCGCAAUAUGUCAUUAGUUGCUACGAAGGCACUCUAAUGAGACUGCCGGUGACAAACCGGAGGAAGGUGGGGAUGACGUCAGUCCUCAUGGCCCUUAUGGGUAAGGGCUUCACACGUCAUACAAUGGUCAGGACAAGAGGUCGCCAACCCGCGAGGGGGAGCCAAUCGAAACCCGAUCGUAGUCCGGAUCGCAGUCUGCAACUCGACUGCGUGAAGUCGGAAUCGCUAGUAAUCGCGGAUCAGCAUGUCGCGGUGAAUACGUUCCCGGGUCUUGUACCGCCCGUCACACCAUGGGAGUGGGUUUACCAAGUAGUUAGCCUAACCGUAAGGAGGGCGAUUACACGAGUAAGGAUUCAUGACUGGGGUGAAGUCGUAACAAGGUAG